UACGUAGGGGGCAAGCGUUGUCCGGAUUUAUUGGGCGUAAAGAGCGUGUAGGCGGCCAGGUAGGUCUGCUGUGAAAACUCGAGGCUCAACCUCGAGACGCCGGUGGAAACCGUAAAGCUAGAGUCCGGAAGAGGAGAGUGGAAUUCCUGGUGUAGCGGUGAAAUGCGCAGAUAUCAGGAGGAACACCCGUGGCGAAAGCGGCUCUCUGGGACGGUACUGACGCUGAGACGCGAAAGCGUGGGGAGCAAACGGG
rnacentral:rRNA from 1 species